rnacentral:rRNA from 1 species
AUUGAACGCUGGCGGCAUGCUUUACACAUGCAAGUCGAACGGUAACAGGCCGCAAGGUGCUGACGAGUGGCGAACGGGUGAGUAAUGCAUCGGAACGUGCCCAGUCGUGGGGGAUAACGCAGCGAAAGCUGUGCUAAUACCGCAUACGAUCUAUGGAUGAAAGCGGGGGACCGUAAGGCCUCGCGCGAUUGGAGCGGCCGAUGUCAGAUUAGGUAGUUGGUGGGGUAAAGGCUCACCAAGCCAACGAUCUGUAGCUGGUCUGAGAGGACGACCAGCCACACUGGGACUGAGACACGGCCCAGACUCCUACGGGAGGCAGCAGUGGGGAAUUUUGGACAAUGGGCGCAAGCCUGAUCCAGCAAUGCCGCGUGCAGGAAGAAGGCCUUCGGGUUGUAAACUGCUUUUGUACGGAACGAAAAGGUUUGGGUUAAUACCCUGGGCCGAUGACGGUACCGUAAGAAUAAGCACCGGCUAACUACGUGCCAGCCGCCGCCGUAA